rnacentral:rRNA from 1 species
AGCCUGAUGGAGCACGCCGCGUGUGUGAUGAAGGCUUUCGGGUCGUAAAGCACUGUUGUAUGGGAAGAACGGGUUUAAGAGGAAAUGCUUAGACAGUGACGGUACCAUACCAGAAAGGGACGGCUAAAUACGUGCCAGCAGCCGCGGUAAUACGUAUGUCCCGAGCGUUAUCCGGAUUUAUUGGGCGUAAAGCGAGCGCAGACGGUUGCUUAAGUCUGAAGUGAAAGCCCACAGCUCAACUGUGGAAUGGCUUUGGAAACUGGGCAACUUGAGUGCAGUAGAGGUAAGUGGAACUCCAUGUGUAGCGGUGGAAUGCGUAGAUAUAUGGAAGAACACCAGUGGCGAAGGCGGCUUACUGGACUGCAACUGACGUUGAGGCUCGAAAGUGUGGGUAGCAAACAGGAUUAGAUACCCUGGUAGUCCACACCGUAAACGAUGGAUACUAGUUGUUAGAGGGUUUCCGCCCUUUAGUGACGAAGCAAACGCAUUAAGUAUCCCGCCUGGGGAGUACGACCGCAAGGUUGAAACUCAAAGGAAUUGACGGGGACCCGCACAAGCGGUGGAGCAUGUGGUUUAAUUCGAAGCAACGCGAAGAACCUUACCAGGUCUUGACAUCCUUUGAAGGUACUAGAGAUAGUACUGUCUUCUUCGGAAGCAAAGUGACAGGUGGUGCAUGGCCGUCGUCAGCUCGUGUCGUGAGAUGUUGGGUUAAGUCCCGCAACGAGCGCAACCCUUAUGUUUAGUUGCCAGCAUUCAGUUGGGCACUCUAGACAGACUGCCGGUGACAAACCGGAGGAAGGCGGGGACGACGUCAGGUCAUCAUGCCCCUUAUGACCUGGGCUACACACGUGCUACAAUGGCGUAUACAACGAGCAGCAAACCUGUGAAGGUAAGCGAAUCUCUUAAAGUACGUCUCAGUUCGGAUUGUAGUCUGCAACUCGACUACAUGAAGUCGGAAUCGCUAGUAAUCGCGGAUCACC